CCUACGGGUGGCUGCAGUGGGGAAUAUUGCGCAAUGGGCGAAAGCCUGACGCAGCGACGCCGCGUGAGUGAAGAAGUAAUUCGUUAUGUAAAGCUCUAUCAGCAGGGAAGAAAAUGACGGUACCUGAGUAAGAAGCCCCGGCUAACUACGUGCCAGCAGCCGCGGUAAUACGUAGGGGGCAAGCGUUAUCCGGAUUUACUGGGUGUAAAGGGAGCGUAGACGGCAGUGCAAGUCUGGAGUGAAAGGCGGGGGCUCAACCCCCGGACUGCUCUGGAACUGUACGGCUGGAGUGCAGGAGAGGUAAGUGGAAUUCCUAGUGUAGCGGUGAAAUGCGUAGAUAUUAGGAGGAACACCAGUGGCGAAGGCGGCUUACUGGACUGCAACUGACACUGAUGCUCGAAAGUGUGGGUAUCAAACAGGAUUAGAUACCCGAGUAGUC
rnacentral:rRNA from 1 species